CCAACCGGGAUUGCCCCAGUAACGGCGAGUGAAGCGGCAAAAGCUCAAAUUCUGGAAUCCCUCGGGAAUUGUAAUUUGAAGGUCUUGUGGCACCAAAGUUGAAUUGUGCAAGUCCAUUGGAACAUGGCGCCAAGGAGGGUGACAGCCCCGUGGCACAAAUCAUGGAGGUAAUAACUACAGGGCCAAAGAGUCGAGUUGUUUGGGAAUGCAGCUCUAAGUGGGUGGUAAAUUCCAUCUAAAGCUAAAUAUAGGCGAGAGACCGAUAGCGAACAAGUACAGUGAUGGAAAGAUGAAAAGCACUUUGAAAAGAGAGUGAAACAGUACGUGAAAUUGUUGGAAGGGAAGGGCUUGCAAGCAGACACAACAUUUUAUGUUGGGCCAGCAUCGGGGCGAGGAGGGAGAAAAUCGGCGGUGAAUGUGGGUCCAAGUUUCGGCUUGGACUGUUUAUAGCGCCGCCGGAUGUCCCUCGUUUUCCCGAGGCCAGCGAAUUUCUAUUCUACUAU
rnacentral:rRNA from 1 species